rnacentral:rRNA from 1 species
CUACGGGACGCUGCAGUGAGGAAUAUUGCACAAUGGGGGAAACCCUGAUGCAGCAACGCCGCGUGGAGGAUGACGCAUUUCGGUGUGUAAACUCCUUUUAUGAGUCAAGAAAAUGACGGUAGCUCAUGAAUAAGCACCGGCUAACUCCGUGCCAGCAGCCGCGGUAAUACGGAGGGUGCAAGCGUUACUCGGAAUCACUGGGCGGAAAGGACGCGUAGGCGGGAUGUCAAGGCAGGUGUGAAAUCCUAUGGCUCAACCAUAGAACUGCACUUGAAACUGGCAACCUAGAGUAUGGGAGGGGGAGAUGGAAUUAGUGGUGUAGGGGUAAAAUCCGUAGAUAUCACUAGGAAUACCGAAAGCGAAGGCGAUCUCCUGGAACAUUACUGACGCUAAGGCGUGAAAGCGUGGGGAGCAAACAGGAUUAGAUACCCGCGUAGUC